rnacentral:rRNA from 1 species
CCUACGGGUGGCAGCAGUGAGGAAUAUUGGUCAAUGGACGAGAGGCUGAACCAGCCAAGUCGCGUGAAGGAAGACGGCCCUACGGGUUGUAAACUUCUUUUAUAUGGGAAUAAAACGUUCCACGUGUGGGUCAUUGUGUGUACCAUACGAAUAAGCAUCGGCUAACUCCGUGCCAGCAGCCGCGGUAAUACGGAGGAUCCGAGCGUUAUCCGGAUUUAUUGGGUUUAAAGGGAGCGUAGGUGGAUUGUCAAGUCAGUUGUGAAAGUUUGCGGCUCAACCGUAAAAUUGCAGUUGAAACUGGCAGUCUUGAGUACAGGAGAGGUAGGCGGAAUUCGUGGUGUAGCGGUGAAAUGCUUAGAUAUCACGAAGAACUCCGAUUGCGAAGGCAGCUCACUGGACUGCAACUGACGCUGAGGCUCGAAAGUGUGGGUAUCAAACAGGAUUAGAUACCCUUGUAGUC